rnacentral:rRNA from 1 species
AGUGAACGCUGGCGGUAGGCCUAACACAUGCAAGUCGAACGGCAGCACAGUAAGAGCUUGCUCUUACGGGUGGCGAGUGGCGGACGGGUGAGGAAUACAUCGGAAUCUACUUUUUCGUGGGGGGUAACGUAGGGAAACUUACGCUAAUACCGCAUACGACCUACGGGUGAAAGCAGGGGAUCUUCGGACCUUGCGCGAUUGAAUGAGCCGAUGUCGGAUUAGCUAGUUGGCGGGGUAAAGGCCCACCAAGGCGACGAUCCGUAGCUGGUCUGAGAGGAUGAUCAGCCACACUGGAACGGAGACACGGUCCAGACUCCUACGGGAGGCAGCAGUGGGGAAUAUUGGACAAUGGGCGCAAGCCUGAUCCAGCCAUACCGCGUGAGUGAAGAAGGCCUUCGGAUUGUAAAGCCCUUUUGUUGGGAAAGAAAAGCAGCAGGUUAAUACCCCGCUGUUCUGACGGUACCCAAAGAAUAAGCACCGGCUAACUUCGUG